CUAUAUUGUUUAUUAAAUUNAAAUUUAUAAACAGAAACAGAAAAAAAUGAAAAUAAAAAAAUCACCUUGCCUUCUGGGUGAAAACAGGGGUGAAUGAUACCAUUCAUAUCCAAAUACAAAUUAUCAAACUCUACGCCAUUAGGGUUAGGCUUAGUUACAUCAAUACGUAUUGACACCCCAUUUUUAUCCUCCCUGGGCUCUUCCUCCACCACGUCCACAAUACACAGCGGGUACCGAUCUGCAAGCCACCUGUAAAAAGCCGGAACUCCCAUUCUUGAUUCUUCCUUAAGCAGUUACUCUACCCGUAAUUCUCUGGUACAGUAAUCUUUCCCCUUUAGGUUGAAAUUGAGCUCCAAGAAAUUGGUAAUUUUUCAAUUAGGUUAAAAUAGCAAUUGAAGAACUGUGAUGUGUAUGUUUACGUUAUACAGUACAUGUAUAUACACAUAUGCACAUGGUCUUGCUUGAAAAUGUGUUUCUAAAUGGGAGAAGGCGAAGGGUUGGACUUGGGUGUCGUAUGCCCUCUCUCUCUCUAGAACCGUAUGAGAGAGACGGAGAGAGGCUUCCCGAUUUCGUG
rnacentral:lncRNA from 1 species